rnacentral:rRNA from 1 species
CGCGGCCUAUCAGCUUGUUGGUGAGGUAAUGGCUCACCAUGGCUUCGACGGGUGGCCGGCCUGAGAGGGUGACCGGUCACACUGGGACUGAGACACGGCCCAGACUCCUACGGGAGGCAGCAGUGGGGAAUAUUGGACAAUGGGCGGAAGCCUGAUCCAGCAACGCCGCGUGAGGGAUGACGGCCUUCGGGUUGUAAACCUCUUUCGGUAGGGACGAAGCGCAAGUGACGGUACCUACUAAAGAAGCACCGGCCAACUACGUGCCAGCAGCCGCGGUAAUACGUAGGGUGCGAGCGUUGUCCGGAAUUAUUGGGCGUAAAGGGCUCGUAGGCGGUUUGUCGCGUCGGGAGUGAAAACCAGGUGCUUAACACCUGGCUUGCUUUCGAUACGGGCAGACUAGAGGUAUGCAGGGGAGAACGGAAUUCCUGGUGUAGCGGUGAAAUGCGCAGAUAUCAGGAGGAACACCGGUGGCGAAGGCGGUUCUCUGGGCAUGACCUGACGCUGAGGAGCGAAAGUGUGGGGAGCGAACAGGAUUAGAUACCCUGGUAGUCCACACCGUAAACGUUGGGCGCUAGGUGUGGGGUCCAUUCCACGGAUUCCGUGCCGCAGCCAACGCUUUGAGCGCCCCGCCUGGGGAGUACGG